GCCACUCUGCGCAGCCCCAAAUAGCAGCGCGCUCACCUGCGGGGGGGCCUGCGUAUUAAUAACCCCCUUCCUCCUCCUCCUCCUCCUCCUCCUUUUCUUCCUCCUCCUCCUCCUCCUCAUCCCUCCGAGCCCUCCAGCAGCCGCACGCAGCUCCCCGAAGCCCCCAGCGAAGCCCCCACCGCUCGGUGCCGGCCGCCCCCCACCAUGGCCGGCCGCAGCUUUGGGCUCUCCCUGCUCCUCCACGCCUGCCUCUGCCUGGCCCAGCUCCGAGGGCCACCAGGAGAGCCCGGCCCGCGAGGCCCCCCCGGUCCGCCAGGAGUGCCGGGAGCGGAUGGCAUUGACGGUGACAAAGGCUCGCCCGGAGCCCCCGGCUCUCCGGGUGCCAAGGGGGAGCCCGGAGCCCCCGGUCCCGAUGGGCCCCCAGGGAAGCCGGGCAUCGACGUGAGUACCCAGCCCUCGUCCCACGGCACCACCGCAAGGGCCUGGGGUCCCGCGGGGGGGCCGGGACCUGUCCCGGGCUCGUUUCUUCCAUCCACAAAUCCCCUGGCUCAGCAGGAACCCCCCCCGGUGGCACCCCCAUGGCCCCGUUGUCCCCUUCCCUGCAGAACGGGGGCUGCCACAGCCGGGGAGAGGGGCUGGAGCCCCGGCCCUGCAGUGGGGUACGGGGGGUGCGCGAUGGGUUUGGUGCCCCCCUCCCCGGUGCGGCGCUGAGCACGUCCACGUCUGCGAGCAUCAGACCUCCACCUGCUUACCAGUGGGAAACCCAAACUCUUUAGGGUCUCUGGACGUCAAUUCGUAAACCUUUUGGGGUUUAUUUAUUCCUCGGUAAUAAAUAAGGAUGGCAACGUCACCGCGGGCGUGCGUUAUUCCCCCAGGGUAACCCCCCCCGGCCCCAUCCCUGCCUGCUCUGCGCCGUGCAGAAUCAGCCCGCGCGGCAGGGGUAGCUCAAACCACCAGCUGGGGGGAUGAAACCCUCCGCAGGGAGCUGGGGCAGCUCUCGGGAUGCUGAGCGAGGGAUGGGGCGGGUCAGGAUUUGUCCCUGCUGGGACCGGGGCUAACGCAGCCGGGGGCUCGGAGCGUCGCCGGGAGCCUGCGGUGG
rnacentral:lncRNA from 1 species